AUUGAACGCUGGCGGCAUGCCUUACACAUGCAAGUCGAACGGCAGCACGGGGCAACCUGGUGGCGAGUGGCGAACGGGUGAGUAAUGCAUCGGAACGUACCUUUAAGUGGGGGAUAACGUAGCGAAAGUUACGCUAAUACCGCAUAUUCUGUGAGCAGGAAAGCAGGGGAUCGCAAGACCUUGCGCUGAUUGAGCGGCCGAUGUCAGAUUAGCUAGUUGGUGAGGUAAAGGCUCACCAAGGAGACGAUCUGUAGCGGGUCUGAGAGGAUGAUCCGCCACACUGGAACUGAGACACAGUCCAGACUCCUACGGGAGGCAGCAGUGGGGAAUAUUGGACAAUGGGGGCAACCCUGAUCCAGCCAUGCCGCGUGAGUGAAGAAGGCCUUCGGGUUGUAAAGCUCUUUCGGCCGGGAAGAAAUCGCACGGGCUAAUACCCUGUGUGGAUGACGGUACCGGAAUAAGAAGCACCGGCUAACUACGUGCCAGCCGCCGCUGUAACAC
rnacentral:rRNA from 1 species